rnacentral:rRNA from 1 species
AAUAGAUACCCUGGUAGUCCACGCCGUAAACGAUGAAUGCUAGGUGUUAGGGGUUUCGAUACCCUUGGUGCCGAAGUUAACACAUUAAGCAUUCCGCCUGGGGAGUACGGUCGCAAGACUGAAACUCAAAGGAAUUGACGGGGACCCGGCACAAGCAGUGGAGUAUGUGGUUUAAUUCGAAGCAACGCGAAGAACCUUACCAGGUCUUGACAUCCUCCUGACCGGUACAGAGAUGUACCUUCCCUUCGGGGCAGGGGAGACAGGUGGUGCAUGGUUGUCGUCAGCUCGUGUCGUGAGAUGUUGGGUUAAGUCCCGCAACGAGCGCAACCCUUGAUCUUAGUUGCCAGCACUUUGGGUGGGCACUCUAAGAUGACUGCCGGUGACAAACCGGAGGAAGGUGGGGAUGACGUCAAAUCAUCAUGCCCCUUAUGACCUGGGCUACACACGUACUACAAUGGCCGGUACAAAGGGCAGCGAAAGAGCGAUCUGGAGCCAAUCCCAUCAAAGCCGGUCUCAGUUCGGAUUGCAGGCUGC